rnacentral:piRNA from 1 species
UGGAUCAAACCUCCUUGAUUCGUAUCCUCGC